rnacentral:lncRNA from 1 species
CUUUGUUCCUGGAAUGCUUGAGUCCCUGGGAUCUCCCAAAGCUUCAGGCAUCAGUGUUUCCUCAGUGAGAGAGCACAGGCAGAGGAAGUGGCAGGCAGAUGGAGAGGAAGAAGCAGACUCCCCACUGAACAAGGAGCCAGAAGUGGAGCUCGAUUCCUGGGAUCAGACCUGAGCCGAAGGCAGAUACUUAACCUACUGAGCCACCCAGAGGUCCCAACAAAUGUCUUUUUUAAGCUGAUAAAUUUGGGAAUGAUUUGUCAUGCAGCAAUAGGUAAGUAAUAGAAUGAAGUUAUCCCCCAAAUAGAUUAAUAGAAUACCCUUUUGAAGAACUGUCAAU